rnacentral:rRNA from 1 species
GAUCAACGCUGGCGGCGUGCCUAACACAUGCAAGUCGAACGCGAAAGGGGGCUUCGGCUCCUAAGUAGAGUGGCGUCCGGGUGAGUAACACGUAGGUAAUCUGCCUUCGGGUGGGGAAUAACCAGUCGAAAGAUUGGCUAAUACCGCAUAAUGCAGCGGCACCUAAUGGUGAUUAGUUGUUAAAGCGGGGGAUCGUAAGACCUCGCGCCUGAAGAGGAGCCUGCGGCAGAUUAGCUAGUUGGUGAGGUAAUGGCUCACCAAGGCUUCGAUCUGUAGCUGGUCUGAGAGGACGGCCAGCCACACUGGCACUGACACACGGGCCAGACUCCUACGGGAGGCAGCAGUGGGGAAUUUUGGGCAAUGGGCGAAAGCCUGACCCAGCAACGCCGCGUGAGGGAGGAAAUCCUUCGGGAUGUAAACCUCACAAG